rnacentral:lncRNA from 1 species
CCACCAACCAAGUGAUGAAAGCAACUCACCAUUCAUUCCACCUAUCAAAAGAUGAGUGGUACAACUUGUACAUGUGAACUCCUAGCAUUCACAAAUUAUCAAAAACCCUCAAGCUUAACAACUCAACUAGGGGAGCACUUAUGCCCAACAAAAGUUAUAGUCACCAACAAAGUCUUAUUGCAAGCCAACAACAACUUCAGUGCAUGGCAUACGAAGAUCAAGUUAUUCAGCCUUCUUGCAUCUGCUUCAAACAUUUCCCCUCUAUAACAAUGCAAACACUACAACUCGUAGAAAGCUUCACACUCUUGAUUAAGACAGUGUGAAGCAAAACCAAUUUAUAGUGCCAACAAGAGAUUCAUCAAUGGAGGUCAACCACAAUCUCAAAAGCUUCACACACUCUUGUUCAAGGCAGUGUGAAGUAAAACCAAUUUAUAAUGCCAACAAGAGAUUCAUCAAAGGAGUUCAACCACAAUUCUCAAAAGCUUCACACACUCUUGAUCAAGACAGUGUGAAGCAAAACCAAUUUAUGGUGCCAACAAGAGCUUCAUCAAUGGAGGGCAACCACAAUUCUCAAAAGCUUCACACACUUUUGAUCAAGACAGUGUAAAGCAAAACCAAUUUAUGGCGCCAACAAGAGCUUCAUCAAUGGAAGACAACCACAAUUCUCAAAAACUUCACGC